rnacentral:rRNA from 1 species
UACAGAGGUCUCAAGCGUUGUUCGGAUUCAUUGGGCGUAAAGGGUGUGUAGGUGGUUGGGUAAGUCAGGUGUGAAAUCUCACAGCUUAACUGUGAAACUGCGCUUGAUACUGCUCGGCUAGAGGAUCGGAGGGGGUAACGGAAUUCAUGGUGUAGCAGUGAAAUGCGUAGAUAUCAUGAGGAACACCGGUGGCGAAGGCGGUUACCUGGAAGAUUCCUGACUCUGAAACACGAAAGCCAGGGGAGCAAACGGG